GGGGGGAGUGCCGGAUCUUGGGCUGUGUCCCCGGCACCCUGUGCUCCCAGGCCUGCACUGUUGGAAUCACGCUCCUGGCCGCGCAGCUCCCU
rnacentral:pre_miRNA from 1 species